CACGCUCUCUUAGUAGUGCUCUCGCCGCUAACCCAACAGGCCCGAUGCACGAAACUGGGGAGCCAGACAC